rnacentral:snRNA from 1 species
AUACUUACCGGGCAGGGGAGAUAGCAUGUUCGUGAAGGUGGUUUUCCCAGGGCAAGGCUUAUCCAUUACUCCAGAUGUGCUGACCCUGGAGAUUUCCCCAAAUGUGGAGCGCUUGACUGUGUAAUUUGUGGUAGUGGGGAACUGCAAUCGCCUCUCUCCU